rnacentral:rRNA from 1 species
UACGGGGGGGGCAAGCGUUGUUCGGAAUUACUGGGCGUAAAGGGCUCGUAGGCGGCCAACUAAGUCCGACGUGAAAUCCCAAGGCUUAACCUUGGAACUGCGUCGGAUACUGGAUGGCUUGAAUUCGGGAGAGGGAUGCAGAAUUCCAGGUGUAGCGGCGAAAUGCGUAGAUAUCUGGAGGAAUACCGGUGGCGAAGGCGGCAUCCUGGACCGACAUUGACGCUGAGGAGCGAAAGCUAGGGGAGCAAACGGGGAUU